UGCCGCCCUUGUAGGGUUAAACACCAAACCGCCAUUGUAUUAGUCUUCUUUUACAAAACUACCCCUCUAUUAUUGUAAAGAGACAGAUAACAAACAGCUUUGCCCCACCGAUAAAUGAGCCGCACCUAACAUUACACGUCACCAAAUCCUCACCGUCAACCCAACAAAUCUCAACCGUUCGAUCCCAAAAUCCCAUUAUAAAACAGAGCUUAGGUUCUCUACCUUCUUUCAUUCAGCGCCUCUUCUUCUCAGCCUUAUCUUCAACAUUCUCCCAAACCUCCUUUCUGCAAAUUCAGAUCUAUUAUCUCUCGUACCUCUGAGGCUUCUUUCGUCACCGGAUCGGGAUGGAUCUGAUCAAGAUCUACAUGUCCAUGUGGUUUCGGCUUGGUUCGAUCAACUUUCCGUUGGGGUUUUACUCUGGUUAGGUUCGGUCUUACGUUAUUAGCGUCUUGAUUUUGUUAUCUUCAAUUUAUAUUAUCCGCGUUUCAUAGAUCCGGUGCAUGGAGACGUAGAUCUAUGCAUAGAGGUACGUGAGAUAAUCCAUGGGAAGAAAGCUGAUCCAACUAUAGAACGAUGGGUCCAUCUACUGACGCUCUUUGGAUCGUUAUGGAUGGAUGCGUGUAUGGAUGAUUUGGAUUAUUCAAGAAGCAGUGUUACCUCCUAGGCUGCAUAUGUUGCUGGUCUCAGAUGUAAAAUUAUUGUAUGAUGUGAAGCUUUGAGGUGGAAAAUAUGUGGAUGUAGGAGAUUUCGGGAUGAACGACCUCAAAACGAUGAGUCGUUUGGGGUUGGGAGUCCUGAGUGAUCUUGUCAUCCGACCUUUGCCAUGUCAGGUGCGCUUGCUUGGCAGGUCAAAUAAUUGUUAAUAAAAAAAGUUUUGUUGGUUUCGGGAGAGAUCGCACGGGAGUUGCCCGGGAUCUCUCCCUCG